AACCUGCCCAAGAGAUCGGGAUAACACCUGGAAACAGAUGCUAACACCGGAUAACAACAGAUGAUGCCUAUCAACUGUUUAAAAGAUGGUUCUGCUAUCACUCUUGGAUGGACCUGCGGUGCAUUAGCUAGUUGGUAGGGUAACGGCCUACCAAGGCGAUGAUGCAUAGCCGAGUUGAGGGACUGAUCGGCCACAUUGGGACUGAGACACGGCCCAAACUCCUACGGGAGGCAGCAGUG
rnacentral:rRNA from 1 species